CGGCAGGCCUCAUACAUGCAAGUCGAGCGGUCCUUCGGGACAGCGGCGAACGGGUUAGUAACGCGUGGGAACGUGCCCUUUAGUACGGAAUAGCCAUUGGAAACGAUGAUUAAUACCGUAUACGCCCCAAGGGGGAAAGAUUUAUCGCUAAAGGAUCGGCCCGCGUUAGAUUAGGUAGUUGGUAGGGUAAUGGCCUACCAAGCCGACGAUCUAUAGCUGGUUUGAGAGGAUGAUCAGCAACACUGGGACUGAGACACGGCCCAGACUUCUACGGAAGGCAGCAGUAGGGAAUCUUGGACAAUGGGCGAAAGCCUGAUCCAGCCAUGCCGCGUGAGUGAUGAAGGCCCUAGGGUUGUAAAGCUCUUUCGCCAGGGAAGAUAAUGACGGUACCUGGUAAAG
rnacentral:rRNA from 1 species